UGGGGAAUAUUGGACAAUGGGCGAAAGCCUGAUCCAGCCAUGCCGCGUGUGUGAAGAAGGUCUUCGGAUUGUAAAGCACUUUAAGUUGGGAGGAAGGGCAGUAAGCGAAUACCUUGCUGUUUUGACGUUACCGACAGAAUAAGCACCGGCUAACUCUGUGCCAGCAGCCGCGGUAAUACAGAGGGUGCAAGCGUUAAUCGGAAUUACUGGGCGUAAAGCGCGCGUAGGUGGUUCGUUAAGUUGGAUGUGAAAGCCCCGGGCUCAACCUGGGAACUGCAUCCAAAACUGGCGAGCUAGAGUAGGGCAGAGGGUGGUGGAAUUUCCUGUGUAGCGGUGAAAUGCGUAGAUAUAGGAAGGAACACCAGUGGCGAAGGCGACCACCUGGGCUCAUACUGACACUGAGGUGCGAAAGCGUGGGGAGCAAACAG
rnacentral:rRNA from 1 species